rnacentral:rRNA from 1 species
GACGAACGCUGGCGGCGUGCUUAACACAUGCAAGUCGAACGGAAAGGCCCUGCUUUUGUGGGGUGCUCGAGUGGCGAACGGGUGAGUAACACGUGAGUAACCUGCCCUUGACUUUGGGAUAACUUCAGGAAACUGGGGCUAAUACCGGAUAGGAGCUCCUACUGCAUGGUGGGGGUUGGAAAGUUUCGGCGGUUGGGGAUGGACUCGCGGCUUAUCAGCUUGUUGGUGGGGUAGUGGCUUACCAAGGCUUUGACGGGUAGCCGGCCUGAGAGGGUGACCGGCCACAUUGGGACUGAGAUACGGCCCAGACUCCUACGGGAGGCAGCAGUGGGGAAUAUUGCACAAUGGGCGGAAGCCUGAUGCAGCAACGCCGCGUGCGGGAUGACGGCCUUCGGGUUGUAAACCGCUUUCGCCUGUGACGAAGCGUGAGUGACGGUAAUGGGUAAAGAAGCACCGGCUAACUACGUGCCAGCAGCCGCGGUGAUACGUAGGGUGCGAGCGUUGUCCGGAUUUAUUGGGCGUAAAGGGCUCGUAGGUGGUUGAUCGCGUCGGAAGUGUAAUCUUGGGGCUUAACCCUGAGCGUGCUUUCGAUACGGGUUGACUUGAGGAAGGUAGGGGAGAAUGGAAUUCCUGGUGGAGCGGUGGAAUGCGCAGAUAUCAGGAGGAACACCAGUGGCGAAGGCGGUUCUCUGGGCCUUUCCUGACGCUGAGGAGCGAAAGCGUGGGGAGCGAACAGGCUUAGAUACCCUGGUAGUCCACGCUGUAAACGGUGGGUACUAGGUGUGGGGUCCAUUCCACGGGUUCCGUGCCGUAGCUAACGCUUUAAGUACCCCGCCUGGGGAGUACGGCCGCAAGGCUAAAACUCAAAGGAAUUGACGGGGCCCCGCACAAGCGGCGGAGCAUGCGGAUUAAUUCGAUGCAACGCGUAGAACCUUACCUGGGUUUGACAUGGAUCGGGAGUGCUCAGAGAUGGGUGUGCCUCUUUUGGGGUCGGUUCACAGGUGGUGCAUGGCUGUCGUCAGCUCGUGUCGUGAGAUGUUGGGUUAAGUCCCGCAACGAGCGCAACCCUUGUUCACUGUUGCCAGCACGUUAUGGUGGGGACUCAGUGGAGACCGCCGGGGUCAACUCGGAGGAAGGUGGGGAUGACGUCAAGUCAUCAUGCCCCUUAUGUCCAGGGCUUCACGCAUGCUACAAUGGCUGGUACAGGGAGUGGCGAGCCUGUGAGGGUGAGCGAAUCUCGGAAAGCCGGUCUCAGUUCGGAUUGGGGUCUGCAACUCGACCUCAUGAAGUCGGAGUCGCUAGUAAUCGCAGAUCAGCAACGCUGCGGUGAAUACGUUCCCGGG